ACUUUCAACAACGGAUCUCUUGGUUCUGGCAUCGAUGAAGAACGCAGCGAAAUGCGAUAAGUAGUGUGAAUUGCAGAAUUCAGUGAAUCAUCGAAUUUUUGAACGCAUAUUGCGCCCCAUGGUAUUCCAUGGGGCAUGCCUGUUCGAGCGUCA
rnacentral:rRNA from 1 species